UACGAGGGGUGCAAGUGUUGUUCGGAAUCACUGGGCGUAAAGGGAGCGUAGGCGGUUUUUUAAGUCAGAGGUUUAAUCUUUGGGCCUAACCCAAAGUUUGCCUUUGAAACUGGAAGGCUGGAGUGAGGGAGAGGUGGACGGAAUUUCCGGUGUAGCGGUGGAAUGCGUAGAUAUCGGGAAGAACACCAGUAGCGAAGGCGGUCCACUGGCCCUUAACUGACGCUGAGGCUCGAAAGCGUGGGGAGCAAACAGG
rnacentral:rRNA from 1 species